GGGCCGUCACCCCCAUGCGGAAAGCCACUGCCAUCACAGGGUGGUUAGUUGUGCAGGCCCUUAGCCGCGAGGUGCAAGCAUGUCCGUGGAAAGGCUAGAAAUUAAUAGGGAGUCACUCAUAGCUGUCAGAAGUGUUGAACUUUGAGACAUAUUGACCUAUAUCCUUUCAGAGGCGGAAGAGGUGUUGUGGUUCACUCCUCUAUAAUUUAAC